rnacentral:tRNA from 1 species
GGGGAUGUAGCUUAGUGGUAGAGCACUCACCUUGCAUGUGGAAGGCACUGGGUUCGAUCCUCAGCACCACA